UUAACAUUUUCGGAACUACGUUUGCUGCGAACCAAGAUGAUUGUGAAUAUUUUUAUACCAUCGAUAAAAGUCAAUUUGAAAGAUUAUCUCUUGACGAUAUUUGCUUCAAUCCAGAAAAGUUAUUAGCUGUGAAUGAGAAAAUGUGCAUUGAUAAAAAUAACGCGUUUGUUGCAUUGAUAAAUAUGAUUGAUGCAAAUGAAAGAAAUUAUUACUUGGAGUCUGAUUUUGUGAUAAAAGAUAAUUUUGAAACUCAUUGUGAAAGAUAUUUUAGCUUUAAAGGUACAUUGAGUUCCUUUCAAUGGGGAUUAGAGAAUGAAGAGCUUGUAAUAUUAGUGCCAGGAGUAACUAUGAACAAGUCGGAUUACUGCCUUAAGUUAACGAGAGUUGAGAAUGUGCCACAUUAUGUCAUUGAACCUCAUAUAUGUGGAGUAUCGACAAAUGUGGUUAAUGUUUAUACACGGGCUAUAUCGGUUUUCUUUAUGAUGCUCAGUGUUGGUAUAUAUUUAUUCUCGUAUUUGCCACGAAAUGAUUCGGCUCACAACAAAUGCUGUAGUCGCUAUAUGAUUUGUAAAACAACCACAUUCACAUUGCGAUCCAUUGAUAUAUUUUAUUUGCAUUUAGGAAUAAUUCCAUCGGAACUUGUAUGCGUUUUAAUAUUUUUCUUCAGUUACUUUUAUGUUCUUGCCACAUAUGUAUGGCUCCUGACCAUAAACUAUAACAUAUGGAAAUUGCUUAGUACAUAUGGGACGUGGAAUGCAGGCUUUCCGAAACUCAAUAAAUUUGUCUGGUUAUUUACGAGUGGCUUAGUAAUAAUAUCAUUUGCAGUUGACGGACUGUUUUCAAUUGGUCGA